UUGACAUCCAGAGAACUUGGCAGAGAUGCCUUGGUGCCUUCGGGAACUCUGAGACAGGUGCUGCAUGGCUGUCGUCAGCUCGUGUUGUGAAAUGUUGGGUUAAGUCCGCAACGAGCGCAACCCCUAUCCUUUGUUGCCAGCGAUUCGGUCGGGAACUCAAAGGAGACUGCCGGUGAUAAACCGGAGGAAGGUGGGGAUGACGUCAAGUCAUCAUGGCCCUUACGAGUAGGGCUACACACGUGCUACAAUGGCGCAUACAAAGAGAAGCGACCUCGCGAGAGCAAGCGGACCUCAUAAAGUGCGUCGUAGUCCGGAUCGGAGUCUGCAACUCGACUCCGUGAAGUCGGAAUCGCUAGUAAUCGUAGAUCAGAAUGCUACGGUGAAUACGUUCCCGGGCCUUGUACACACCGCCCGUCACACCAUGGGAGUGGGUUGCAAAAGAAGUAGAUAGCUUAACCUUCGGGAGGGCGUUUACCACUUUGUGAUUCAUGACUGGGGUGAAGUCGUAACAAGGUAGGCGUAGACGU
rnacentral:rRNA from 1 species